rnacentral:rRNA from 1 species
UACGUAGGGGGCGAGCGUUGUCCGGAAUCAUUGGGCGUAAAGCGCGUGUAGGCGGCCCGGUAAGUCCGCUGUGAAAGUCCAGGGCUCAACCCCGGGAGGCGGAUGGAUACUGCUUGGCUCGAGUCCGGAAGAGGCGAGUGGAAUUCCCGGUGUAGCGGUGAAAUGCGCAGAUAUCAGGAAGAACACCCGUGGCGAAAGCGGCUCUCUGGAACGGUACUGACGCUGAGACGCGAAAGCGUGGGGAGCGAACAGGG